GACGAACGCUGGCGGCGUGCCUAAUACAUGCAAGUAGAACGCUGAAGCUUGGUGCUUGCCCCGAGCGGAUGAGUUGCGAACGGGUGAGUAACGCGUAGGUAACCUGCCUGGUAGCGGGGGAUAACUAUUGGAAACGAUAGCUAAUACCGCAUAAGAGUAGAUGUUGCAUGACAUUUGCUUAAAAGGUGCAAUUGCAUCACUACCAGAUGGACCUGCGUUGUAUUAGCUAGUUGGUGAGGUAACGGCUCACCAAGGCAACGAUACAUAGCCGACCUGAGAGGGUGAUCGGCCACACUGGGACUGAGACACGGCCCAGACUCCUACGGGAGGCAGCAGUAGGGAAUCUUCGGCAAUGGACGGAAGUCUGACCGAGCAACGCCGCGUGAGUGAAGAAGGUUUUCGGAUCGUAAAGCCCUGUUGUAAGAGAAGAACGAGUGUGAGAGUGGAAAGUUCACACUGUGACGGUAUCUGACCAGAAAGGGACGGCUAACUACGUG
rnacentral:rRNA from 1 species